AACGAACGCUGGCGGCAGGCUUAACGCAUGCAAGUCGAGCGCCCCGCAAGGGGAGCGGCAGACGGGUGAGUAACGCGUGGGAACGUACCCUUUGCUACGGAAUAGCUCCGGGAAACUGGAAUUAAUACCGUAUGUGCCCUACGGGGGAAAGAUUUAUCGGCAAAGGAUCGGCCCGCGUUGGAUUAGCUAGUUGGUGGGGUAAUGGCCUACCAAGGCGACGAUCCAUAGCUGGUCUGAGAGGAUGAUCAGCCACAUUGGGACUGAGACACGGCCCAAACUCCUACGGGAGGCAGCAGUGGGGAAUAUUGGAAAAUGGGCGCAAGCCUGAUCCAGCCAUGCCGCGUGAGUGAUGAAGGCCUUAGGGUUGUAAAGCUCUUUCACCGGAGAAGAUAAUGACGGUAUCCGGAGAAGAAGCCCCGGCUAACUUCGUGCCAGCCGCCGCGGUAAUAC
rnacentral:rRNA from 1 species